rnacentral:lncRNA from 1 species
AUAGCAUAACAUUCCGAACAGGCCACAGAGAUCAGGAUGAGCACAUAUAGGCGACAUAUCACUUGGAAUGAACUAAGAUUGUCUACCAAAUGGCCCUAGUUCCAAAAUGAUAACGUUAAUGGAAGGAAACCAUAAACAUUGUCGGAAAGAGGACAAGGAGAAGGCCACAAAAUAAUUCCAUGGCUAUGAGAUGCUAUUAACUGGGGGAUUAUACUCUUGCUAGCUAGCUCAAAAGAUUAUUCUUUUUGACUCAAAGGUCACAACUUCUUUCUCGUGGUGGGUUACCCUCAAUCAAUCACUCAUUCAAUUCAAGAACCAAAAUCAUAAUCUAUGACUCCAAAAUUUUUUAUUCUUGGCGUGUUUUCUAGGAAGAUAGGAUAGUUGUUAACACUAUUAAGAAAGAAAAAGAAGUUAAAAUCAUAUUCAUAAUACAGUCCAAUAUAGAGUAUCAAAGGUACACAUCAAAUUUUGGACCUUUUUGUAUGAGAUUUUAUAAAGAUGCCAAAUUGUGCAAUGUACAAAUAUAAUUAUGUAGUACUACAUACCAAACCUGCAUAUCAAGUUUGUAGAGAUGUCAAAGUGCACUAUGAGUUUGGACCCCCUGUGCUAGAUUCCAUAGAGAUGUCAAACUGUGCAAUGUAGAACUACAAAUGUUUACGAACAAAAUUUGAAAAAAGUGCGGAUGCAGAUGUAGAUGUAGAUGUAAUUGUGAUGUAGAAAGGACGAGUACAGUAGGGAUUAUACCCAAAAUAAUUAAUCGAUUGUACAUUAUGGUGGAGUUCUGCUGUCUGACAAGUUCGGCUCAAAUGUAGAGAUGUUUGACAUCAACAAUGUAACUAAAGACGCAUGACACCAACAUGGGUUGUUUUGAGAAAAUGUUAAGGAAUAAGCAUAACUAUAUAUGUUUGUAUUUUUCAAAUGAAAGUACGGAAUGCAAUACCUUUUCUCUUUCAAGAUGUGUCAUAAUCAAGUCGAGACUGAGGCAGUAAACGAGUGUCACUUUGUAACCGCAAGCAUAAGCCAUCGCUUCAACAUCAAUGCUAGGUUUUGCAUGAUCAUGUGAACUAGGGCUCACUCCAUCUACACAUGCAUCUUUUACUUGUCUAACUGUGCAUCCUCUGGCACGAGCAGAUGCAGUGGCCACAUGUAACUUGAAAAUAACUUAAGAGCUUAUUUUGUAUAAGGUAUUAGACAAAACUCGACAAUAUAAUAUACAGAAGUUUUAGCUUUUCUUUCUUCGACUAAUAUUGUCGAGUAUCAUAUAGUUCACUUUUCCAACCUAGCCAUUGAUGUUCAAGACAAUCAAUUGAUGGCAAACCUGUAACGUCUAAACAUGUUCAUAUACGGUAGAAAGAAAUCAUUAUCAACAUUUCAUGUCCCUCAUUAUAUUCAUAACCACAAGUUCACAAAACGAUUUUUCCCUUUCAUUUUAAAGGAAUGUAGUGAAAUAAAUAAAUACAAAAAUUAGAAAAAUCUGAGUUUCAAUGCAAGGAGCUAAAAAAUAUAUGGCUUGCCAACUACUUUGGGAAAAAAGAAGAGGCAUCAAAGAGGAAUUCUCAAAUCACUGCCAAAUUCUCUUGAAUUCUCACUUGAAGGACUAUGAAGAAACAACAAUAUUGAAGUCAUCACUAGCAAGAUCGCAAAAUUAUAAUUAAGCAAUGAUUUAAUCAACACACCCAAAUAACAUCAAAUAAAGAUGGGGGUGUUUAUUAAUCAAUCAUCAGACAACCACAUUAUUUUAAAACGGAUUUGUAGAUAAAUCGUGACACGUAAUUUUGACAUGUCUACCUAGAUCCUUUAAUGCUACUUUCAAUUCAUAUCUAAAUACAAGAAAUCCUUUGAAACCAGAAUGGAUUGAUAAUUUUAAGUCUAUGUUCCCCUCUUCUAACCUAAUUUACCAGAAUCACAAUUGUAAGGUGAAUGGAAAGAAGGGAAAAUGAACAUAGACAAAUUUCAUUCUCUCUUAGGUUUAUCUUCAACACUUGAUCAUCAAAGAGAAAUUAGUCUUCAUAACAUACUACUUGUGUCAUAAUAACUGUUCAAAUUAGAUAAAACUUAAAGAUAACGAGGCCAAACUCUGGAAUGAAGAAAAUGAAAGGACAUAUCUGUGAAAGAUAUUACAAAGAGCUAAAUUAAUGUCUCAUCAGGUUGGGAAAGGAGUCAAAUGGGCGGGAAGAGUUCUGAUAAUUUUUAAGUUCACACUGAUAAUAUUUUGAAUGCUUUUCCUUCCUUUCUCUCCAUUGAGAAAAGUGGGAGAGUUACAAAGAUCAUUUAAUUAGCAUGUGUUAACAUUGUUCUCACCGAAAUUUUCCUAUGCCUCUCUUGAACCUAUCAUCAUUAUCUGUUUAAUAGGCAAAUCAAAGUCCCGUGGGUCAAAUAAAAUAUGAAUCCAAGCCAUGAUGUGCAAUUUUUUUUUCUGUGAUGAAGUUUUCUAUCAACGUGACUGUGAGCAGACCAACAUGAUCAGAUAACAACUUGAUAACAUAUACAACCAUGUAAUCUCAAACCAAAUUGUCAAAAAGUACUCUUAUCUCAAAUGACAGUCUAUGUGAUUUUUACAUGUUUUCGCUAAAACGUAGAUAUAGCAUGUCAUUAUCAUCAUGAAAUUAUCAAUAGUACAUGUAUAUCACGGUCCAGUCAUUCCACGUUAGUAAGAUUGUCAACCUUAUUAAUACCAAACCAAAACACCUCUUAACAGUGAAGCUAUCAGUUAUUGUUCCCGGGGGUGCAUAGAAUCAAUUAAAAGCAUAGCUCCAUAAAAUAAAUAAAAUAAUAAAGCGUACUAUUUAAGAAAUAAAUAAAAGAUUUGAUGACUUCUUUCUACAAGCUAUUUUCAAGUUUCUACUCACUCUAUUAUUAAAUGGAAAGAAGAGCAUAAGAACACAUCCAACUGAAGCCUUAAUUACUUACAAUCCCAAUGGCUCAGUUCCAGUUGAUGAGGUCCCUUCCAUCACCAAAAUUUGGUCGAGCCAGUGACACUAUAAUCUAGCAUCACAAAAUAUCCCCACAGUGCUGCUUGUUCAUCAUCUAAGAGGUUGUUAACAUAAUAAAGAUAAGCAACAUUGUGACUGAGAGAUGUUAAUUAAGAUGAGAAGCAGGUUUAAAAGUGCAUCAACGGGUCAAGUAUGAAAGAGCACUAGCAUACAAAUAAGACAUGACUAAAAAUAACCGCGUUGCAUGUAUCUUGAGAAACAAAUUAUCAGCAUAAAUCUGUUAAAUAAGUAAAACAAAAUUUUGACAUUGAUUGCAAACUGAUCAUCCAAACUCCAGAAUCUCAAAUAUGAAUGCAAUUUCAUUAGUCUCUCCUCAGUCCAGAAGUUACCUCGUUUGAUUCAUUUAAGUAUACAUUUUAUCCUUCAACCAAAACCCAAAAAAAU